UUUCCGUAGGUGAACCUGCGGAAGGGUCAUUAUUGAAUAAACCUGGCUUGGUUGAUGCUGGUCUUUUCGGAGACAUGUGCACACCUUGUCAUCUUUAUAUCUCCACCUGUGCACCUUUUGUAGACCUGGAUUCAACUUUCCGAGGAAACUCGGUUGUGAGGAAUUGCUUAAUAGGCUUUCCUUGUUAGUUUCCAGGGCUAUGUUUUCAUAUACACCUUAAGAAUGUAACAGAAUGUCAUUAUUAGGCUUAAUUGCCUUAUAAACUAUAUACAACUUUCAGCAACGGAUCUCUUGGCUCUC
rnacentral:misc_RNA from 1 species